rnacentral:ncRNA from 1 species
UUACAUGCAAAGAUUGGGAGUAGUAUGCAGGAAUCCUCAUCCAGAGAGAGAACCCUUGGCUGAAAGGUUCUUUGACUAGGAGACGUGCAGAAGUCGCCCAUGAGCAUUCUUCUCUGAACAAGAGUAGGAGAAGACGUUAACUUACGUUAUAGUUCUUAAUGAGUGUAUGAGUGAUUUAUCGUUCAUAAACAAAGGUGGUACCGCGAACACUUCGUCCUUUGC